GGGAAGGAGAAGUUCAGAGGCAGUGCUUUUAGAAACAUGAAGAGGGAAGCUAUAGGGAAGGCUUCAUGGAGGAAAUGAUGGCUAAAGUGGGUCUUGAAAGAAACAGAAUUUGGACUGAGGAGGAUGAGGGACAGGAGAAGACCAUUAUGCUUGGUGUGAGCAAAAACUGGGUGAUCAGAAAUAGGUCGAGAAUGAUGAGAUGGAGAUUAGAUGAGUUUGAUUAGAGUACAUGAAGGUAUGAUAAAGAUGAAAAAGUGAUUCAGAGUCAGUUUAUAAAGAAAGUAGCAUCAGAUGGGAUCUAUGGUCCCUUACAUCUCUGAUAAUUUAUGAAUGAAUGGAAAACAUCUAUUAAGGCUAUUAUGUACAAAGCAUGAGACUAUCUGUUGGGGAUACAAAUAGAAAUAGAAGAUAGUCCUCUCCCUCAAGGCCCUCUCAUUCUAAUGGGCAAGACAGCACAUGAAUUUAUGGAUCCACAAAUCUGUAUCAGAUUGACAUUUCUAAGCUUCAGCUUCAGUGUUCAAAACCUGGAAAAAGUACCAAUCAUGUAACCAGCCCAAGAGUAGCAGACUUAUUUCCCUGAAAACAUUGCAAUGAAUAUGAAAUUGGCCAAGAGCUACUUAUUUGGAGAAAAAACAUUUCACAGAAAUUUGUUUAUGAGUUACAGUCAUUUGGUUCAAAUCAAAAGACAGCAAUUUAAUUAAUUGGUCUCCUUUUUGAGAAAUACAUAUUAAGCAUCUGUUCUGGUUCAUAGGUUCCCUGAAAUCUAUCUAUCCAGAAAGCCCUUGAGAGUCUGUGGAUCUCAGGUUAAGAAUCCCCAACCUAAAUCAUCUUUUCUCCAGCCUAAAAAUUCUUCAAUCAACCUUCAAAUGGAUUUGCCACCAUUCCUCUUUCACUACAAAUCAGCCUCUUCUGCAUGGACUACAACUUGUUCAAGCAAUCAAACAAUCAAUAAAACAUUUAUUAAGUGCCUACUAUGUGCCAAGUAUUAUUCCUCAUGGAACAGCCAGGAGACCAAUGUCCAUCAUAUAACAUAGUUCCCUAAAUCAAAAAUAUUGGUCCAAUUAUAUUCUGAUAAAGGAAAAAUUAUUAGUUCCCCAAAGUAUUUUCACAAAAAUAGCAUCUUUGAUUUAAAUCCAGGUCUUGUGACUUAGCAUAACAUAAUGGAAAGAACCCUGGGUUAGGAGCCAGAGGGACUGAAUUCCAACCCCAACUCUGAUACUUACCAUCUGUGUGAUGAAGCACUCUCUCUCUAUAUAAAAUAAGGGAGUUAGAAUGAAUGAUCUCUAGGGUUCCUUUCAACUCUAUGAAUCCAGGUCUAAUACUUCCCACCAUACCAGGCUCCCUCACAGAAUUUGAUCACAUGAUUGUAACCUAUGUGGUCAGAUAGGUCAGUCAAUCUCUAACUUAAAGUAACAACUGUGCAAAGCUCCAUGGUUUUGGCCAAGGACAAGCAUCAGAAGAGCACCUGACAAUAAGUCCAAAACUCCAUGGUGAGCUAUGGACACAAAGUCCUGAAAGAGGAAAUUAGCUCCAGAAAGGAGGUUACACCUGGAUUUGAGUCUGGACAUGAGUUUGGAAAUGGAUAUUGGCCUCUACCCACGUAGACUGGGAUGAGAUGGUAUGCUGUCAUAUCUUAGAGAGAAAGGAGUCUGCUAAACAUUGAACUUGACUUUGAUUCCUGGCAAAAUUAUAGAAUGUAUUGUUCAAAGUAUGACUCAUGAACUUGCCCAGCAUCACAUAAAACCUAGAAUUACUACUAUACUACCUUUAGUUAAUGCUUAGAACAAUUUCUGGAAGGUAAAUAGAAAAGACCAUUCUCAAGCUUUUCCAGCAUGGUAGGACCCUGCUUAGCUUGUACUUCAUGGCAUAACCUUCAAGAAUUCAGGGUUCCCUCCAUGCCAUGUUGGAGUAGAACUUUGUGAAGACCUCCUAAUGUUUAGAUUGACUCUUUCCUCCCUCAGAUCACCUUAUAUGUACUUAUUGUUGGAGAUGUACCGGAUAGACAGAUAAAACAUUUAUUAAGUAUUUACUGUGUAUUCGUCACUAGACUAAUCUCAUUGCUACAAAUAUAGCAAAAGGAAAGAAAACCCUCGUUCUUAAGAAGCUUAUAUUAAAUAAAAGAAAACAUAUCAAAGGGAGCUGAGGGGAUUGGAAUAAAAAGUUCCCUAAGGGAGGUUAACAUCCACAAGGAGAUCCUGAAGAACUAUGGGCUAAAUCCUUUAGAAUAUAAGUUCCUUGAAUUCAGGGUGGUAAGAGUCAUUAGGAAA